rnacentral:misc_RNA from 1 species
UUGCUUUAUUCGUCAGCACAAAAGCAGUUCAAUAAAGAAAAGGAAGAAAAGAGAGACAAGACUGUGAGCAAAACUCCAAAGGUUGAAAAAAAUUCAGCACAACCAACUCCAUUAUUUACUUCAAUUUCACUAAGGAAACAGAAGCUCUUCCAUAGGAGAGAUGAAUACAAUGUUCACAUUAGAAAGGUCGACUCACUUUAGUUUCUAUUAUCUAACUUCCUAUGAUUACAGCAUCAAUAAUCCCUUGGUAUAAUGUUCAUAUGCAUUCAUUUUCUGUCAUCUUCAAUUAACCAAUUUUGGUCUCUGUGUACAAAAAUGUUCAAGCUGAUAUUUUUGCAGUCCACCCAGUGGAUAUUUUAGCACUAUUCUAGUCAUAUAAAAAAGAAUCAAAUAUCAAGACCUGAAAACACUGACAUCAAGACCCAGCUGAACUUUCAGAGUUGCUCCACCAAAAGCUAACUGAGAAACUAAUUGUUAGAGAUCGGACGUAGUGCCACCAUUUUGGUGGGAUGUAAAGCAUUUCACCUUCUUCUAAAAUGCAGUCUACGAAUUCCAAGUCAUGCACUUUCGGAAAUUCUUUCUCAUCUAUGUUGUCCAGAUCAAUCUUCAAAAAGAAUUUGUAAACAUGGAAAUACAGUCUUCACCAUAGAAGAAAAAAAAAUCAUCUAUAUAGUGGCUAUUGAUAUUUGGAUAGAGAGAGUUGCAAAAGAUGUUGCAUGCAUAAAUUGUUGGAGAUUUAUUGCACUAGCACGAAAUUCAUGACAAGGAUAAGAAAAGGAAAAUUCAUCCAGAUGGUUCGAAAAAUGAAAGAAAUUUUCAAGAAAGCAUUUACCUGGCUGGAAUUGCAAAGCAUGGUUUCACCGUGUGGAUACAGUUCUUCAGAUAAUGAAGCAGGGUAAAGCCUAAUAUACUUUUUCCCAACAACCUGAAAAUAACAAAGCGAUAAUUGUCGACGCAAGCAAUAUGCUCACAAAUCUAUCCUAUACAACAAAUUACCUUGAUACAAUCUACACAAGCAAACACCAACAUGGUAAAUUAGAAAAAUUGAAAGACGCAUGCCAUAAUCAAAGCGUAAAAAUGAUUUAUGGAGAUAGAUAAGCUACUAAAAUCUCUUCAAAGUCAAACUGAAAAGAUAGACGGUUUGGGAGAACAGGGACAAAACCAACAUCAGUAUCUUUGUCAAACAAGCAGAUUAAAUGUAUCUAUUAUAAAUUCAACUUUUAGACUAAAAACAGGGGAAAGUUUAGUAACACUCUUUCAACUACCACAUAAAUUAGGGUGUUUGCUUGAUUACCAAUGCACCACACUUUUUUACAUAAAUUCAUCAAUAUGGAACUGCUAUACGAGUACCAUUACUCCAAUAAUGAGCUCAGGAAGGAAAAGAAUAAAAUUCUAACAGCAGAAAUACUGAAAAGAGUAGUAACAAAAUCUUGUCAAAGAUCCAUGGUCAAGAACAUGCUCAAAUGAACUAUCAUUAUUCACAUAUUUCAUACCUGAGCAAGUAUGUUAUGGUGUGGAUCAUGGUGCAAUGGUGUAACUGUCCCAGCAGGACCAAACCAAGCAUUAAGAGACCUAAGCUCCCCACCACCAACAAAACAGUAGUCAGGAAUGCAAAUGUCAUUCCUCAGCUUAUUUAUCUGAUCAAACAAUGGAUGCUGAGCAAGAUAGGUGGGGCCAUCAGAAGAAGUUCCGUUGGACUGAAUCCUCUCAAGAAACUGGGAAAUUGUUAUAAGUUCUUGUUUCCAGUCUUGGCAUAAAUAGUUUUUCCCAACCUGCAAAUAAUUAGAAAAUUCCCAAUCCCUUCUUGUCGAAUAACACAUACAAAUAUGCAACACCAUCACCACCACCCCUCUUAUCCGCACAAAAACAAUUUAAAUAUAUGCAUAGUCAAGCAUCAGAUAGUCAGCAUCUCAAUUACUCGUAUCUGUCCUUGUGCUGACUGCUUGGUUAGCAUUACAAAUGCAUAGCUUGCUAGAGGAAACAAGUUUUAUUGAAAACGAAGUAACAAAACUUCUAUGUAAUGUUCUGCUAUUCAGUUUGUGGUAACUUAAAAGGUAAUCAUGUUAUAGCCAGAAAAAUAGAUCAGUGUAAUGGAUGCAUAGUUGAUCAUAUUCAAAAUUUUAUUUGAGUUCUUAUUUCAAAUUGUACAAUUUAAAAUCUAUACUUGUAAAUGAGAAAGGAAAAUUCAUUCUCAAACCAAAUUUUAAAAACCAAAAAGUGCAUUCCAAAUUACAUCUUUAUAGUAGAUUUUUAAAUUCACGAUCAAACAAAGCGAUCAUUUUUAUUCAUGAAUCUUGUUUAUAUUCAAUGAAUCUACUCAACAAAAUAUAUAUUAUGUAUUAUAAAUUCCAAACUUGCACAUAAGAUUCAAACCAUUAAUUCCAAACACAGCCUAAAUGUAAAGUGAAACGCAAACAUUUAAUAAAAUUUCAUCCUAAGAGCUGGAAAAAAAAUCACCUCAACUGGAACCGUGCGGUCACCAGCAACCCUUUUGAGGUAAUCCAUGUCAUUCCACUUUUUCCUCAACUGGAACCGUGCGGUCACCAGCAACCCUUUUGAGGUAAUCCAUGUCAUUCCACUUUUUCCUGGCAGGCCAAUGAGUCAUAAAAUCACUAAUUAUAACUGGAGAACCACAUAAGAAAUGUUCACGUAGAAA